rnacentral:sRNA from 1 species
CGAGAGGCUCUGAGGCUGCCAGAGUGGUUGUGUCUGUUGCUCCGGUAAGGGGUGAUUCGCCGAGGGGCGCGGACCAGACAGACCUCGGGUCAGGCCCGGGAACCCCGAGAGGAGAGCCCAGCCCCUGGUGGAGGCGGCUUGGCGGAGAUUCGGAGCCGUCAGCAGCUCAGCCAGACGUCCAGGAUCCCACCCCUUGCAAAAGACCACGCCGUGGAAGCCAUGUUCCCACCAGCCAGGGGGAAGGAGCUGCUCUCAUUUGAGGAUGUGGCGAUGUACUUCACCAGAGAGGAGUGGGGCCACCUCAACUGGGGUCAGAAGGACCUCUACCGAGAUGUGAUGUUGGAGAACUACAGGAACAUGGUCUUGCUGGGUAGGACACGGCUUGAAGAUUGGGCUUUGUCUGUGUUCUGAGUGUCUGUGCAAGCCCUUAGUCCCUUAUCUGCAAUUCCAGAAUCAGAAAAAGCGGUGAAAACCGAAAGUUUUUUUCAUAACUCGUGUGGCUACAAGCCCUGACCAGACAUCACCACAGUGAAACCUGACUUCAUCCUAUAGGAAACCAUUUAUUGUCUUUAUUUUUCCAACUUGGUGUGCAUAUCUGUAUACCCAACUUCAGAAAUAACAGUGUAGGCCAGGUGCGGUGGCUCACACCUGUAAUCCCAGCACUUUGGGAUUCCGAGGCGGGUGGAUCACAUGAGGUCAGUAGUUUGAGACCAGCCUGGCCAAUAUGGUGAAACCCAUCUCUACUUAAGAUGCGAAAAUUAGCCUGGUGUGGUGGUGCACGCUUGUAGUCCCAGUUACUUGGGAGGCUGAGGCAGGAGAAUCGCUUGAACCCGGGAGGCAGAGGUUGCAUUGAGCCGAGAUCAUGCCGCUGCAUUCCAGCCUGGGUGACAGAGCGAGACUCCGUCUCAAAACAAAACAACAACAAAAAUAACAGUGUAUUUGAGGGCACCACUCCAAACCCUACUGGGGAUGAUACGUUAUGUAAAAUAUUUACACCAGGUCACCUUUCUGAAAUGGGAAAAAUUCUGACUCCUGAAACACAUCUGGUCCUAAGGGUUUCACAUAAGGGACUGGGGACAGUGAAUAGUCGUGUUGUGUUAGGGCUCAGACCGAGACACUUCAUGCAUUCUUCACUCUCACCUCGUGUUCCUCAUCUGUAAGACCUCCAGGAGUUGAGAAUUAUGGUAGAUUUACAUUCCAAAGGCUCACUUCUUAUGCUCUUAAAAGUCUUUUUCUUUCUUUUCUCUGGAAAUGGGUAACUUCUUGGUGUGUAACAUUAGUGGGUGCUCAGGAAAUGAUUUUCAACCAACUUCAUUUCUGAACCUUCACUGCUUCCAUUCUUUUCAGGAGCCUACCCUGUCCUAGUCCACUGUAGUCUCCCACUGUGGGAGUUGCCUUGCUAAAUAGUUUUCUUUCUGGGGUCACAUGUUUAACCCUUGCACUGACACUCUUAGCACAGAGUCUUGACCACCUCUGUGGGACUGUCCACCCACCUCUGGAUUUUUAUAAUUUUAAUUUUCCCUUUAAAAGCAUUACAGGAGCAUACAUAAGUACAUGGAAGGCAUAGAAAAGGAGGAGAAGAGGAAAGUGUUCAUGGGUAACACUGUUAAUAUUUUGGAAGGUUUCCUGCCAGUCUUUUUUUCCUAUGCCUUUACAAAAGUAGCUGAGCAUAUUCUAUGUGCAAUCCUGUAAUCUGUUUUAAAUGUAACAUUAUUGUAUCAGCAUUUCCCCACAUAAUCAGUAAACGAGCAUAAUAUAAUUCCAUUGUGUGGUCCAUAAUAAUAUUUCAUUGUUUUCCCAUGUGGGGACAUUGAGCUUGGCUUUGUUUGUUCGUUGGUUUGCUUGUGUAUUUAUAAUGUUUGAAUAGAUGUUUGAGUAU